rnacentral:rRNA from 1 species
GGGGAAUAUUGGACAAUGGGCGAAAGCCUGAUCCAGCAAUGCCGCGUGUGUGAAGAAGGUCUUCGGAUUGUAAAGCACUUUCGACGGGGACGAUGAUGACGGUACCCGUAGAAGAAGCCCCGGCUAACUUCGUGCCAGCAGCCGCGGUAAUACGAAGGGGGCUAGCGUUGCUCGGAAUGACUGGGCGUAAAGGGCGCGUAGGCGGUUUAUGCAGUCAGAUGUGAAAUCCCCGGGCUUAACCUGGGAACUGCAUUUGAGACGCAUAGACUAGAGGUCGAGAGAGGGUUGUGGAAUUCCCAGUGUAGAGGUGAAAUUCGUAGAUAUUGGGAAGAACACCGGUGGCGAAGGCGGCAACCUGGCUCGAUACUGACGCUGAGGCGCGAAAGCGUGGGGAGCAAACA